UGGUUUCUUUAUCCGGGAAGGAUACUCGUUCGACUAUGUGUUUGACUGGACCAUUCUAAUGUAUCCUCAAAUAGGCGCCAACCCGUGAACCAGGGUGAUCUUAUUGUAUUGGGAGCUGAUCUUAUUGUAAUGGCAAUAAGUGUAGUUGAUGGAUGGACUAAUGCUGACACUAAACUUAUGGAGCAUGUUUUGGUAAAUAGGCUUGUGGUGUUAAAGAGGGCUAGGAUGGAGCGUAUGAAGGCAUUGGAGAAGAUGAUGAAUUCCAAAUCAACAUCUUCCAUUGCGAAUCUGGUGGCUUUGAUCAUUUAUGUCAUCUUUUGCUUCUUCGUACUUUGGCAAGGCCGUUUUGUUGCGCUGUUGUGCACGCGGUUGUAGGAAGGGCGUAUUGUGGCGGCUACGAGGGACCGAUGUUCCUAUGUGGCGGUGACAACGACACCGUGGAGCCAAGGCAAUGUCAGCAAGCUGAUUUUUCAGAUUGGAAUCUAUGGUUCUUUUUAAAGAUCGAAUAUGUUCUAGCAUCUUAAAAAGAUUUGUCAGAA